GGUUAAGCGACUAAGCGUACACGGUGGAUGCCCUGGCAGUCAGAGGCGAUGAAGGACGUGCUAAUCUGCGAAAAGCGUCGGUAAGGUGAUAUGAACCGUUAUAACCGGCGAUGUCCGAAUGGGGAAACCCAGUGUGAUUCGUCACACUAUCGUUAACUGAAUACAUAGGUUAACGAGGCGAACCGGGGGAACUGAAACAUCUAAGUACCCCGAGGAAAAGAAAUCAACCGAGAUUCCCCCAGUAGCGGCGAGCGAACGGGGAGCAGCCCAGAGUCUGAAUCAGCUUGUGUGUUAGUGGAACGGUCUGGAAAGUCCGACGGUACAGGGUGAUAGUCCCGUACACCAAAAUGCACAGGUUGUGAACUCGAAGAGUAGGGCGGGACACGUGGUAUCCUGUCUGAAUAUGGGGGGACCAUCCUCCAAGGCUAAAUACUCCUGACUGACCGAUAGUGAACCAGUACCGUGAGGGAAAGGCGAAAAGAACCCCGGCGAGGGGAGUGAAAAAGAACCUGAAACCGUGUACGUACAAGCAGUGGGAGCACCUUCGGGUGUGACUGCGUACCUUUUGUAUAAUGGGUCAGCGACUUAUAUUCUGUAGCAAGGUUAACCGUAUAGGGGAGCCGCAGGGAAACCGAGUCUUAACUGGGCGUUAAGUUGCAGGGUAUAGACCCGAAACCCGGUGAUCUAGCCAUGGGCAGGUUGAAGGUUGGGUAACACUAACUGGAGGACCGAACCGACUAAUGUUGAAAAAUUAGCGGAUGACUUGUGGCUGGGGGUGAAAGGCCAAUCAAACCGGGAGAUAGCUGGUUCUCCCCGAAAGCUAUUUAGGUAGCGCCUCGUGAAUUCAUCUUCGGGGGUAGAGCACUGUUUCGGCUAGGGGGUCAUCCCGACUUACCAACCCGAUGCAAACUACGAAUACCGAAGAAUGUUAUCACGGGAGACACACGGCGGGUGCUAACGUCCGUCGUGAAGAGGGAAACAACCCAGACCGCCAGCUAAGGUCCCAAAGUCAUGGUUAAGUGGGAAACGAUGUGGGAAGGCACAGACAGCCAGGAUGUUGGCUUAGAAGCAGCCAUCAUUUAAAGAAAGCGUAAUAGCUCACUGGUCGAGUCGGCCUGCGCGGAAGAUGUAACGGGGCUAAACCAUGCACCGAAGCUGCGGCAGCGACACUAUGUGUUGUUGGGUAGGGGAGCGUUCUGUAAGCCUGCGAAGGUGUGCUGUGAGGCAUGCUGGAGGUAUCAGAAGUGCGAAUGCUGACAUAAGUAACGAUAAAGCGGGUGAAAAGCCCGCUCGCCGGAAGACCAAGGGUUCCUGUCCAACGUUAAUCGGGGCAGGGUGAGUCGACCCCUAAGGCGAGGCCGAAAGGCGUAGUCGAUGGGAAACAGGUUAAUAUUCCUGUACUUGGUGUUACUGCGAAGGGGGGACGGAGAAGGCUAUGUUAGCCGGGCGACGGUUGUCCCGGUUUAAGCAUGUAGGCUGAUUGUCCAGGCAAAUCCGGAUAAUCAAGGCUGAGGUGUGAUGACGAGGCACUACGGUGCUGAAGUAACAAAUGCCCUGCUUCCAGGAAAAGCCUCUAAGCAUCAGGUAACAUCAAAUCGUACCCCAAACCGACACAGGUGGUCAGGUAGAGAAUACCAAGGCGCUUGAGAGAACUCGGGUGAAGGAACUAGGCAAAAUGGUGCCGUAACUUCGGGAGAAGGCACGCUGGUGUGUAGGUGAAGUCCCUGCGGAUGGAGCUGAGACCAGUCGAAGAUACCAGCUGGCUGCAACUGUUUAUUAAAAACACAGCACUGUGCAAACACGAAAGUGGACGUAUACGGUGUGACGCCUGCCCGGUGCCGGAAGGUUAAUUGAUGGGGUUAUCCGUAAGGAGAAGCUCUUGAUCGAAGCCCCGGUAAACGGCGGCCGUAACUAUAACGGUCCUAAGGUAGCGAAAUUCCUUGUCGGGUAAGUUCCGACCUGCACGAAUGGCGUAAUGAUGGCCAGGCUGUCUCCACCCGAGACUCAGUGAAAUUGAACUCGCUGUGAAGAUGCAGUGUACCCGCGGCAAGACGGAAAGACCCCGUGAACCUUUACUAUAGCUUGACACUGAACAUUGAGCCUUGAUGUGUAGGAUAGGUGGGAGGCUUUGAAGCGUGGACGCCAGUCUGCGUGGAGCCAACCUUGAAAUACCACCCUUUAAUGUUUGAUGUUCUAACGUUGGCCCCUGACCGGGGUUGCGGACAGUGUCUGGUGGGUAGUUUGACUGGGGCGGUCUCCUCCCAAAGCGUAACGGAGGAGCACGAAGGUUAGCUAAUCCUGGUCGGACAUCAGGAGGUUAGUGCAAUGGCAUAAGCUAGCUUGACUGCGAGCGUGACGGCGCGAGCAGGUGCGAAAGCAGGUCAUAGUGAUCCGGUGGUUCUGAAUGGAAGGGCCAUCGCUCAACGGAUAAAAGGUACUCCGGGGAUAACAGGCUGAUACCGCCCAAGAGUUCAUAUCGACGGCGGUGUUUGGCACCUCGAUGUCGGCUCAUCACAUCCUGGGGCUGAAGUAGGUCCCAAGGGUAUGGCUGUUCGCCAUUUAAAGUGGUACGCGAGCUGGGUUUAGAACGUCGUGAGACAGUUCGGUCCCUAUCUGCCGUGGGCGCUGGAGAAUUGAGGGGGCUGCUCCUAGUACGAGAGGACCGGAGUGGACGCAUCACUGGUGUUCGGGUUGUCAUGCCAAUGGCACUGCCCGGUAGCUAAAUGCGGAAGAGAUAAGUGCUGAAAGCAUCUAAGCACGAAACUUGCCCCGAGAUGAGUUCUCCCUGAGACUUUAAGUCUCCUGAAGGAACGUUGAAGACGACGACGUUGAUAGGCCGGGUGUGUAAGCGCAGCGAUGCGUUGAGCUAACCGGUACUAAUGAACCGUGAGGCUUAACCUU
rnacentral:rRNA from 1 species